GUCAGCAGUGGGCAGGGCUUCGAACACUUGCGCACCCUGGCUGCGCAGGAUUGGCCGCGCGUGGCGCGGCUGCCCUUGUUCGUGCCGAGCCCGCGGGUG
rnacentral:tRNA from 1 species